UGACCUCAAAUCAGGUAGGACUACCCGCUGAACUUAAGCAUAUCAAUAAGCGGAGGAAAAGAAACUAACAAGGAUUCCCCUAGUAACUGCGAGUGAAGCGGGAAAAGCUCAAAUUUUGAAUCUGGCGGUCUUCGCAGACCGUCCGAGUGUAAUCUAGAGAAG
rnacentral:rRNA from 1 species